rnacentral:rRNA from 1 species
UCAGGAUGAACGCUAGCUACAGGCUUAACACAUGCAAGUCGAGGGGAAACGAUAUUGGAAGCUUGCUUCCGAUAGGCGUCGACCGGCGCACGGGUGAGUAACGCGUAUCCAACCUGCCCACCACUUGGGGAUAACCUUGCGAAAGUAAGACUAAUACCCAAUGAUAUCUCUAGAAGACAUCUGAAAGAGAUUAAAGAUUUAUCGGUGAAGGAUGGGGAUGCGUCUGAUUAGCUUGUUGGUGAGGUAACGGCUCACCAAGGCGACGAUCAGUAGGGGUUCUGAGAGGAAGGUCCCCCACAUUGGAACUGAGACACGGUCCAAACUCCUACGGGAGGCAGCAGUGAGGAAUAUUGGUCAAUGGGCGAGAGCCUGAACCAGCCAAGUAGCGUGCAGGAUGACGGCCCUAUGGGUUGUAAACUGCUUUUAUAAGGGAAUAAAGUUAGUCUCGUGAGACUUUUUGCAUGUACCUUAUGAAUAAGGACCGGCUAAUUCCGUG